rnacentral:rRNA from 1 species
GACGAACGCUGGCGGCGUGCCUAAUACAUGCAAGUUGAACGCUUGAUUUUUACCGAAGCUUGCUUCACCGAAAAUCAAGAGUAGCGAACGGGUGAGUAACGCGUGGGUAACCUACCUUUCAGCGGGGGAUAACUAUUGGAAACGAUAGCUAAUACCGCAUAACAAUGUUGGAUGCAUAUUCGACAUUUGAAAGUACCAACUGGUACACUGAGAGAUGGACCCGCGUUGUAUUAGCUAGUUGGUAGUGUAAUGGACUACCAAGGCGAUGAUACAUAGCCGACCUGAGAGGGUGAUCGGCCACAUUGGGACUGAGACACGGCCCAAACUCCUACGGGAGGCAGCAGUAGGGAAUCUUCGGCAAUGGACGAAAGUCUGACCGAGCAACGCCGCGUGAGUGAAGAAGGUUUUCGGAUCGUAAAACUCUGUUGUUAGAGAAGAACGUUGCAUAGAGUGGAAAAUUAUGCAAGUGACGGUAUCUAACCAGAAAGGGACGGCUAACUACGUGCC